rnacentral:rRNA from 1 species
UGCGUAGGCGGGCUAAUAAGUCAGUGGUGAAAUCUCUCGGCUCAACCGGGAAACUGCCAUUGAUACUGUUAGUCUUGAGUUCGGUUGAGGUAAGCGGAAUGUGUAAUGUAGCGGUGAAAUGCUUAGAUAUUACACAGAACACCAAUUGCGUAGGCAGCUUACUAGACCGACACUGACGCUGAGGCACGAAAGCGUGGGGAUCAAACAGGAUUAGAUACCCUGGUAGUCC